GACGAACCGUGCGAACGUUAUUCGGAAUCACUGGGCUUAAAGCGCGUGUAGGCGGGCCGGCACGUCGGUCGCUGAAAUCCCCCGGCUCAACCGGGGAAUGGGCGCCGAUACGACCGGCCUGGAGGGGGGUAGGGGGAGCCGGAACUUCCGGUGGAGCGGUGAAAUGCGUUGAGAUCGGAAGGAACGCCCGUGGCGAAGGCGGGUCUCUGGGCCGAUACUGACGCUGAGGAGCGAAAGCGUGGGGAGCGAACAGG
rnacentral:rRNA from 1 species